rnacentral:rRNA from 1 species
AUUGAACGCUGGCGGCAGGCCUAACACAUGCAAGUCGAACGAGUGGCGGACGGGUGAGGAAUGUCUGGGAAACUGCCUGAGGGAGGGGGAUAACUACUGGAAACGGUAGCUAAUACCGCAUACCCUCAGAUGUGCCCAGAUGGGAUUAGAUUGUUGGUGGGGUACCGGCUAACCAAGGCGACGAACCCUAGCUGGGCUGAGAGGAUGACAAGCCACCCUGGAACUGAGACACGGUCCAGACUCCUACGUGAGGCCGCAGUGGGGAAUAUUGCACAACGGGCGCAAGCCUGAUGCAGCCAUGCCGCGUGUAUGAAGAAGGCCUUCGGGUUGUAAUGUACUUCCAGCGGGGAGGCGUUACCCGCAGAAGAAGCACCGGCUAACUCCGUGCCAGCAGCCGCGGUAAUAC